UUUCUUCUCUCUAUAGAUGAUGGAAACAAUGCCACAAUUUUUCACUAUCGUCUACGAGUCGCCAACGAUGAUCUCAAAUUUCAGAUAAAAAAGAUUGUUGGGGAAGCCGAAGGCGAAAGAACGAUGCUAUCUCGGAGCCGUGUCUAUUCUUCUCAAGAGUUCUCCUAAAGAUGAUUGUGUAGCUUCAAGCAAUAGUGAUUCAUAACCGAGGCAAAGAAAGUGGCAUUGGCGGUGGAGGUAGUGACGACGAUUUUCUCGUCUCAUGGUCGUCCGACGGAGAAGGAGAGAAAGAGCUAGAGGGAGAGAUGGCAAUUUAGUAAUUGUACCGAUUGAUCGGGACGACGAUGAUCGCCCCGAAUUUUACUGAAGAAUCGCCAGAGAAAAACUUGUGCAGUUCGAUUCGUCGUGAAGACAGGGUCGACGGUCGGAUUUUUGUGGUGAUUUGACUGAAAAUUGAUCAAGGAUUUUUGUUAAUGUUCUUGCAUUCACAACUAGUUCGAUGAAUUCAGUACUAUAUCGCUAAUCUUGGUUGUAAAUUUCGG
rnacentral:lncRNA from 1 species